rnacentral:rRNA from 1 species
CCUGGCUCAGGAUGAACGCUAGCUACAGGCUUAACACAUGCAAGUCGAGGGGCAGCAUGGUCUUAGCUUGCUAAGGCCGAUGGCGACCGGCGCACGGGUGAGUAACACGUAUCCAACCUGCCGUCUACUCUUGGACAGCCUUCUGAAAGGAAGAUUAAUACAAGAUGGCAUCAUGAGUCCGCAUGUUCACAUGAUUAAAGGUAUUCCGGUAGACGAUGGGGAUGCGUUCCAUUAGAUAGUAGGCGGGGUAACGGCCCACCUAGUCUUCGAUGGAUAGGGGUUCUGAGAGGAAGGUCCCCCACAUUGGAACUGAGACACGGUCCAAACUCCUACGGGAGGCAGCAGUGAGGAAUAUUGGUCAAUGGGCGAGAGCCUGAACCAGCCAAGUAGCGUGAAGGAUGACUGCCCUAUGGGUUGUAAACUUCUUUUAUAAAGGAAUAAAGUCGGGUAUAGAUACCCGUUUGCAUGUACUUUAUGAAUAAGGAUCGGCUAACUCCGUGCCAGCAGCCGCGGUAAUACGGAGGAUCCGAGCGUUAUCCGGAUUUAUUGGGUUUAAAGGGAGCGUAGAUGGAUGUUUAAGUCAGUUGUGAAAGUUUGCGGCUCAACCGUAAAAAUUGCAGUUGAUACUGGAUAUCCUGAGUGCAGUUGAGCAAGGCGGAAUUCGUGGUGUAGCGGUGAAAUGCUUAGAUAUCACGAAGAACUCCGAUUGCGAAGGCAGCCUGCUAAGCUGCAACUGACAUUGAGGCUCGAAAGUGUGGGUAUCAAACAGGAUUAGAUACCCUGGUAGUCCACACGGUAAACGAUGAAUACUCGCUGUUUGCGAUAUACUGCAAGCGGCCAAGCGAAAGCGUUAAGUAUUCCACCUGGGGAGUACGCCGGCAACGGUGAAACUCAAAGGAAUUGACGGGGGCCCGCACAAGCGGAGGAACAUGUGGUUUAAUUCGAUGAUACGCGAGGAACCUUACCCGGGCUUAAAUUGCAGAUGAAUUACGGUGAAAGCCGUAAGCCGCAAGGCAUCUGUGAAGGUGCUGCAUGGUUGUCGUCAGCUCGUGCCGUGAGGUGUCGGCUUAAGUGCCAUAACGAGCGCAACUCUUGUUGUCAGUUACUAACAGGUUCCGCUGAGGACUCUGACAAGACUGCCAUCGUAAGAUGUGAGGAAGGUGGGGAUGACGUCAAAUCAGCACGGCCCUUACGUCCGGGGCUACACACGUGUUACAAUGGGGGGUACAGAGGGCCGCUACCACGCGAGUGGAUGCCAAUCCCCAAAACCUCUCUCAGUUCGGACUGGAGUCUGCAACCCGACUCCACGAAGCUGGAUUCGCUAGUAAUCGCGCAUCAGCCACGGCGCGGUGAAUACGUUCCCGGGCCUUGUACACACCGCC